CAGUCGCCACGGUAAUACAGAGGAUGCAAGCGUUAUCCGGAAUUAUUGGGCGUAAAGGGCUCGCAGGCGGUUUCUUAAGUCUGAUGUGAAAGCCCCCGGCUCAACCGGGGAGGGUCAUUGGAAACUGGGAAACUUGAGUGCAGAAGAGGAGAGUGGAAUUCCACGUGUAGCGGUGAAAUGCGUAGAGAUGUGGAGGAACACCAGUGGCGAAGGCGACUCUCUGGUCUGUAACUGACGCUGAGGAGCGAAAGCGUGGGGAGCGAACAGGAUUAGAUACCCCUGUAGUCCCUGUCUCUUAUAC
rnacentral:rRNA from 1 species